CUUUGGUUUUGUAUUGAGGCCAAGUAGCACGUGAAAGUUGCAUUUGCCAAAAAAAAAAAAAAAAAUAAAUAAAUGUGUGAAAUUCUGGGGAACAAAACAGGGAGCAGUAGGAAUGUUGAUAUGCACGGGAAGAGAUAAGAUGACAAAGACACGGCGACAUGCAUAUUGUGACACCAUAAACAUGAUUCAGCAUAUGCAAUUGCAUAAACAUGACUCAGCAUAUGCAAUUGCCAACAUUGAGGUGGGGAAGGGAAGCAUUAUUCUUGCUGCGCCAAAACGUCACUGGGAAGUUACAGGGCCAAGCAUAAAGGUCAGUCAGAUUGCUGUGAAUAUUUAUCUGAAAAAAUAAAGCAUGAAAAUCCGUUUAUAAUAAGCCAAAAGUUAUGUAUGAGAAAUAUUGUUGCUUGUAAAAACAUGUUCUGAAAAGAAAUGCCUUGUCUAGAAGGGACAGGUUGAAACAUGAACGGUCUUCUAUCGAACAUAAAUGUUCACAUGUCGCGUCAUGUUUAAGCCAACCAUUGAGCAUAUUGCUGAACUAAUUUUCCCAUCUCAUGACACUGACAUUACUGGAAGAUAUAUAGACUAAAUAGAACUCUUGACUUGCUAAAACCUACUUUGAUUUGGAUAAAAAUCAGAUUUUUAAUACAUUUUGAUAAAAGUUUAUUUAAAUGUAUUGUUGAAUAAUUGAUAAAAAGCUGUGAAUCCCACCAAAUGUAAGGUUAAAAAUGAAUUUGGGAAAAAAUAUGAAUUUUAAGGAAUAGAAAAAAUGAUUUUCUUCAGGACAGUUCCAAAAUUAAUUAAAUGAUUUUCGUAACACCAAAAGCAACCGAUUCAAGACUUCCAUGAUUCCUCCAUUACAUAAUUUCAUAACAAUACUCAGUACUAAACAAUAAUACCCUUCUCCUCUAUUCAUCAAACACCUUUUUUUGGGAAAUUAGUCCAGAUUUUCGUCAAAAACAGAAAUAUGCCCCAUAGUCUUCCCCAAAAAGUCAACAAGAGAAAUAACUGCAUUCAGAACUAUGGAGAAAUGCACAUCCGUCGUCAACAGGCUAGACCAAAGCAAAAGAACAGUAAAGGCAUCAUUUUUCAGACUUACCAGAAAGAAAUAUCAAAGUGCAACCAUUAGAGUAGUCCCUCAGAUUAUUGAAGAAUUAGAAUACUCAGCAAAGAAAAUACUUCUUCGAGUGGCCAUAGAUAAGAGUUAAACAAGAAAAAUAAAACUGUUCGCCAAUAUAAUUCAUAAUAAUGAUUAAUGAAACAGAAAAUUUUCUGGUAUAAGACAGGUAACAAUCAUACAAACCACAUGUUAGCCAAGCACCAAAGUAUGCAAUUUCUGCCUACUCUUCAACAUAUCCCUCAGUCAAUCGUGCUUUUUAAUAUGUGCAGAUGCUGCAACAGAAAAAAGAAAGCUAAGUUCACAAAAUGGGCAUCCCUUUUUUAAUAACAAUAUUAUAUCCCAGACCUAAAAAUUAAAGUCGGAUUAAGAUGUCAAGAUACCUGUGCUCAACAUAGAAUCGUGUUUUCAGAGCUAUAAAAAUUCCUCUUCUUGUUCCAAUAUUUUUCAUCAUCAUCAGUGCAAAUGCAGAGUUCUAGGGAACUCAUCCACCAUUUGCAGUGCCAUGACCAAUGAGCUCCAAAGGAAGCUCUAUUAAACCGAGUUACAGCAUGGACAAAAGUAGGUAAUGCAGGUUAAGAGUGUCCACCUAGAGCAUCUCGGUUGCUUGUGCCUGCACCCUGGCCAGCUCGGACAAGUAUGCUGCCCUAGCAGCCGUAACAGGGUCAAACCCAAGAAUAUGCUGACAGGGUGCAGGCAUGGCCCAAGCCCCUCACCAGGGCCUGGAUAUUCCAACACUGCUAUUGGGUUGCUGCUGAUUAAAAUGAAAAGAGAUGUGCAAAAUAGUCAGGUUGUCACGCAUCUAUGUUGAUGAUAAAUAACGAGUCCAAACAAAAAAUAGCUCUAGUUUAAAUCAAAUUUCAGAAAAAAAAUCUACACAAUUGAAGCAAGAUUGGAAUACAACCAUCCAAAAACAUAAUAGAAUAUCAAGUUUCCAUUUUUGUCUGUCUCAAACAACUGUCCUAUGGCAAAAAGUCAAAGUAUUGAGGUUCUAAGGUUCCUACUAAAUGCUACAUUUACAGAAUGACGCAAAUUAUGUCAUGAUGCCUUUAACUACAUAUUAAGAUCUAAAAUUUUCAUUUUUCAAAACCGAGAAGGGAAGAUUUGAGAGCUUACUAAAAUUGAUUAAAUUUAAAUGUCAGGUGGGGCCCAUAAACGUUAAUCUAGUGCCAACUUUUUUUAUUCUUUUCUUCAUUUUGACAAAUUUGUCAAUGUCAAACCAAAAAUUGAACAGGAUUUGGGGUCUUCAAUUUUGUUGAAGUCCUCACAAACGCAUUCUACUCCCAACCUUUUCUACCCAAAGCACAUCGCUGGUACCUAAGGAACGUCACAUUGUGCCUCUCCACACCCCCUCCCUCCAUAAUGCCAAAAAAUGUUAAAACUCUAUUCCCAUUAAAUUUAUAGUUGGUUAUAAAAGUCCAUUUCCUCCAUUUUGAUCAACUAAAAGAUAUCUUUGAAAUGUCCUAGAAAAUCAAAUAUCUUGCAACCAUCUAAAGCCAUGUUAAUUUUGGUCCGUUUAUCCCUCUUUCUAACAUGUUCUACCAAAAUUCUGACGUAAUAGUAUGUGGGAACUGCUUUAGGUUUACAAAAGACAUAACUCAAAUGACUAUACUACUGUCACCUUAAUUUAUCCUCGAUUAGUGCUAAAUCACUUCUAAGCAUACAUCCUCAUUCUAAAUAUAUCCGUUCUAGUGUCAAAAUGCAUUCUUGACAUCUUUAUUUUUGCUAUAUUCAUCCUAUUAGCAUUUUGUCUUUUAAUGCACAACAGUCACUAUCAUAGAACAAAAUGUGACCUAAUUGCCAUUCCACAUAUUCCAAUUUGGCAGUUAUUUUGUGGUCAUAUAGAAUAAUCAUAUUCUGUCUUCAUUUCACUUUAAACUGCAUUACAUCAUUUUUAGGAUACUCUUCCUCCUAGAGCUCUCUAUUUACUUGUUGGCUUCAAGUUCAAUAGCAGAGCCCUUAUGCUACAAGCAUGCAGUAAAAUCAUUUUCUUAAGAACUUGGGAUUCCAAUAGACAACAAACUGGUAAAAAUAUGAUAAAUAGCUACUCGAAGAUUGGCAUCUAGAAAUGUCAAAUGGACAGAAAUUAAGUUAUUCUGAAGUCAUCUAUUCGUGUUUGUAUACAGCCUAAGCUAGGAAUCAUAAAAUAGUGGUGGGGAACCCUUUAUAGUUCGCAUUGCAUGGCUGAAACAUAUUCUUUACAAUGGCUUUGUUGUUUCAGGGGGAAAGAGUGAGAGAAGGAAGGUGUGAAGUAUGUUGCUGCUUUUGUGGAGUCCAGCCCAGCUACUUAAAGGGGCCCAAGUAAAGACCCAGCUCAUGACCCAAUUGACAGCCCAUUUAAUGGAAGAAUCUGGAACCAAUUUGGUUUUAACAAAAACACAUUUUCAGUUUUAAAAUAACAACUCUUAUGGAUCGUCAACGCGUGGUGAAUGGUGAGCCGUUGGAUUGAGAUGAUUGAGCUGCCCCUUUUAAUUGAGUCAAAAGACUCUAGGGUUAGAGAACCCUUUUUUUUUCAUAUUCGCGCAGCUUCUUCUCGUUUUGAGUUUUCUCUCUGUAUUUUUCUUGUGAUUUUUUGGGUUUUGAUUUUGAGUGAUCUUUGUAGAGAAAACUUAGUUCUGUGAACUCUUGUGUGAGUUCUUGUUGUGUAGAGAAGUUGUUGUGUUGUGCUGUACGAAAUUUGUGGAACUGUGUGUUCCGUUGUAAUCGAUACUUUGUUGGUUUUGGCUGGCUGAUUUAGUGGAUUCGAGCUUAUUCCUCCGUGGAUGCUCAACGGGGAUUAGGCGGUCUUGUUGAUCGCUGAACCUCGGGGCUUCGGCCUAAAAAUAUGUUGCGUUUUAUUUUCUUCAGA
rnacentral:lncRNA from 1 species